AACGAACGCUGGCGGCGCGUCUUAAGCAUGCAAGUCGGACGGCAAGGCGGGAGCUUGCUCCUGCCCUAGAGUGGCGGACUGGUGAGUAACACGUGGGUGGACAUACCCUCUGGUUGGGGGAGUAGCCGGUAGAAAUACCGGAUAAUACCGAAUACGAACGCACAGGUUAGAGUGGUGCGAGGAAAGGAGCUACGGCUUCGCCGGAGGAUUGGCCCGCGUCCGAUUAGGUAGUUGGUGAGGUAACGGCCCACCAAGCCGACGAUCGGUAGCCGACCUGAGAGGGUAAUCGGCCACAUUGGGACUGAGACACGGCCCAAACUCCUACGGGAGGCAGCAGUGGGGAAUAUUGGGCAAUGGGGGAAACCCUGACCCAGCAACGCCGCGUGAAGGAAGAAGGCUUUCGGGUUGUAAACUUCUUUUACCAGGGACGAAGACGUGACGGUACCUGGAGAAAAAGCCACGGCUAACUACGUG
rnacentral:rRNA from 1 species